UGUUUUCGGAAUUCAGUUUGAUAUCUUACGAAGAAUAUCUCUCUUUUUUACGAGAUAUAGAGAAAUCCGCCUGAGAAAACCUUGAGAGCUGACGAUUGCACUUACAGCAUGAUCAAACUGAUGUUCUCUGACGAAACUCUCCUCAUCUGCGGCCAGCAUUGCCUCUAUAUCGCCACCUGCAAUAUCAGUCAAACAAAUAGCACCAUUACAAAUGCCCAAGAGACAAAAAAAACUUUAUCUUUGCACUAUCAAGAAGGUAGCCAAGGGGGGUUGGAGGAGACGGUACCAAAGGAGGUCAUAUGUACUAGCCUAUAUCGGUGUCUUUCUAAAGGGAAAUAAAUGAACAAAAGAUUGGAAUUGUAUGUUUUACACCUUUGUGAAAAGAGAGUAUUGUAGUUUCACUGUUCUUUUAAGCAUUAGCUCUUAGCGACUAAGGAAUCGCACCAAUUUGCUUCCGUCGGUUUACUUCCGACAAAAGACAAAAUAAUCUUUUAGAAGUUGCUAUCCACUCUACAUUAUCAGUCACAUCCUCAAGGAAACUUUCGAAAGACUUUUACAAUUUUUAAAUAGUUAUAUAGUCUUCUAGUUAUACUACAGCUUGUUUGCAGUUUGCUUAGUUAUUCCACUUCAAUACAAAACAUUAUUGAUAUAGUCCACCCCAAGUUCUCCACCAGAUCUCGCACUUUUAAGAGAACCAGGUCAGGUCCCAGCAGGCAGGGAGAAAGAGGUAAAAGACCUUGUGCAUGUUAAACUAUACCUUCACUAUCAAAGGGAUUAUUGAUAGAUUGCUGGCAAGGUUCUUCCCCAAACCCCACACCAGAGAGGAAUCUAUCGUCGUACUGCUGGCUCAUGUCGGGUCCUUGGAAGGAAAAGGGUACAACUUGCUCCCCUGAGCCACCAGGAGUCAUGGUACGACCUGACGUUGAGUCAUCUACAGACGAUCUAGAUUUAGGUGCUUUGUGCGUUUCUUGUAAUGAAGGUCUACUGUUACUGGAACGGCUGGAAGUUCCUAGAGGGUACAUGAAUUGGUGGUCAAUGAAAAAGCUUCUGAAAGGUUAUGUAGUGAUGAUCAUGACGGAGUUAUAAAGAAGUAUAAUACAUAUAAUGGCAACAUAGAUAUGGUUUGAUACCAAAUAAGCCAAUAAGAAAAGUUUUUCCUUUUCAAUUAUUGGGUACGUCAGGGGUUUCAUUAAGUUCCAGAGUAGGCGGUGGAAUUUGAUAAGUAGGGGGUGGAAGUUAUCAAAGUUCAAAUAAAACAUAAACUUGUUUUAACAAGUAAAAAAUAGUACUGGCUGUUCUGCUGGCCGCCGGGCCUAAAUGACACUCAAGACGUUUUUAACUGUUGUAAAUGAUAAGUAUUACUGAUAGUCACUGCAUUCAUUUUUGGCCUACAAAAUUGUUUAAUUGAACAUUACUUGAUUACCAUAUUUCUUGGUAAAACUUGAUAUUUUGCUUGACCCAGCAGCAGUCUUUUGUACUUCUGGUCUGACAAUUGCAACAUUUUUGCUGGGGGAACUUGAUCCGGAUCUACGAUGCUGAAAUGCAAAAUUCGUCAUAACUAGUUCGGCUAUUUGACAUCUUUAUGAAAGCUUUAAUAAGACAAAUAAUAUAACACAAAGGGAACGUCAAGUUCUAGACAAUUGUACUGUAGCAAUGCACUUAGUGAUACCAAGCAAAAGAAGCUUGUACAAAAAUGUAAAACAUCUGUCAUCAUUCUAAGAGCAGAUAUAUACUUGCUACAGAGAAAUGCUUACAAUAUCUUAACCUUCAGUCAUGGAAAUGAUAGAAAGAAAUCUUACGUUUUGGUUUGAGUUGUCGUCAGUAACUGAUGAUGGCCGGGUGCUGCCCUUGAACAAAAUCCCAGGAGUAGUCCUGCUCAAACUUUCAUUCUCUUCUCUUGGUGUUGACUGAAGCACAGAAUAAAAAAUAAAACAUGUUUCUCUAGAAACAAUCCGUAGUGCCCCUUUUCCACCCCCAAUGGUAACAAGUCAGUCAUUUUCGCCCCACUUACCCACCUUUCCCUCAUAGUAACAAGUCCUUUGUAACAUAUACCCACCUAUCCCUCACAGUAACAAGUCCUUUGUAACACAUAUCCACCUACCCUCAAUAGUAACAAUUCCUUUGUAACACAUAUCGACCUACCCUCAAUAGUAACAAGUCCUUUUCGCCACAUAUCUACUUACCUUCCACAGCAAUGAGUUGUCUGUAUCACUUGUAUCAAACGGGUUCUUUGUGGAUAAUGUUGAGGGAUUACUUGAUGCAAAGCCUGAUGAAGCAUGAUCUGUGAUUGUGUUCGACUGCUCGUUUUGAAGUGGUGAUCCAUCAGAACCACGGGCUGGAGUCAUGGCAACCAACGUCUACACAAUAAACAAUAUUCUAACCUUAGCAUCUUGCCAAAUGACAUAGCAAUAGGUGUGAUACUUUAUGCACAUUUAGGGUUUAGAAAAAAGGAAAUGGCUCAAAACAAGCAUGUGAUUACACCCCUUCUAAAAACCUUAAAACAAACAGGAUUAUCUUAUUCCCCAUUCAUAUUGAGCUUUCUAAUGACAAAAGCAUGUGAUCUGCCUACCUUGUCAGUAAUUGUCGCGUCAAAGGCAAUUGAUGGCAACUGCAAUAGUAGGACAAUCCUGUGAGCACCCUCUUCAGAGGAUAUAAUAAUACUCAGACAGAUAAAAUAUUCAAGAGGUGGUCAUGGAGCACAUCCCAACCAUGUCACUAGGUAAACUGAAUACUAGAUGUUAAAGUAUUCUACUUAACAAAAUCCUUGAAUUAAUCAUUUAAGUUUCUUCCUCAGGUUAAAAAAGAAAACCUUCGAAAAAUGACCUUCUCCCAAGGCAAAUGAUAAAAUUCAUGUUCAAUAGACAACUUAAACAAAAACUAACUAAACGUUAUCAGAAAAUCAGAUUUUUAAGUGAGACAUUUUAUAUUAAGUACCUGUGAAAGGUGCAAACUGCUAUCUUGGAAAACAUUCCCGCGCACAGUAUCAUUGUGCGUAGGCAGAAGAUAUUGCAAUCCAAGGCCUGAAUGAUCCCUAUUUACAGGUGUGGCAUCAAAAUCAAAGGCAACCUGAGCAUUUCUGACCAUGGGAGUUGAAGCAGUGAGCACAUCAAAGUUAUCAAGGGAUGAGCUAGUACUCAUGUCCCCAGUGUUGCUGGGGGAUGGCGAUAGUACACUAUUUGGAGUGUCAGAUGCCGCAUGGCCUACAGGGAGACCUCUCAACCUUUCUCCAGAGGAGCUGGAUGGUGGAUUAGUGUCAGCACCUUCGCCAGGGGAGGAAUUAACAGAGGAUCGUUGGCUGCUUGGCUGGUCAUCGCCUGAAAGAACUAGGACCAUAUUACAAUCUGUUGCCUUACCGAUGGAUUCAGCAACUGGACUUCCAAAGUCUGACGAUGGUCUGCCCUGAGCUGGGACAUCUUCUGUGUCUGAAUUAGCACCCUCUAGACCAGGACGUCCUACAGCCAUGCCUGAGUGUCUGCCAUCACCAACAUCAUGUGAAUCUGGGCGUUGCUGGUCUUCAACCUGGUUGCUUGGGGUAAUGUCCAAUUCAUCCUCCUGUUCAAUGUCACUUCCAGAUCGUGAAUCCAUGCCACUUCCCAACCCACGGCUAGUGCUGUAGUAAGAAUUAACAUAAAUGUCAUUCUUUAGAUCGAACAGGGAAUAAGUACAGUACAAUAAAAAGCUCUACACUGAGUUAAUUUAUGACAGAAUAUUUUUUUUUUAAAAGGACAUAUAAUCUGAUGAAAAUAUACAGACCUACUCAGGCUUUGACUGAAUAUACUGUCUGGGAAUGUCUGUGACUGCAAGAAACUUAUACUGGAGGCCAAUGACAUCCUGUCAAUCAACUCGCCACCAUCCCCACUACCUGCCCUUGUCUGGAGCAUGAAGUGGAAAUCAUCUGAUGGCAAAAAAUAUCUCAAACAAGGUCACAAGGUCGCCCCCUGGCUAGGAAAAUAAAGCGGAAAUCAUCUGAUGGCAAAAAAAUAUUUCAAACAAGGUCACCCCCUGGCUAGGAGCAUGAAGUGGAAGUCAUCUGACGGCAAAAAAAAUCUCAAACAAGGUCACAUGGUUGCCCCCUGGCUAGGAGCAUGAAGUAGAAAUUGUCUGAUGGCAUAAAAAAUAUUACAAACAAGGUCACAAGGUCACACCCUGGCUAGGAGCAUGAAGCGGAAAUCAUCUGACGGCAUAAAAAAUAUCUCAAACAAGGUCACGGUGUAAAUUUUAACGAAUUUUAGGCUUUAGAUGCUCCUCCGCUAGGUUCAAAUGGCUUGAUGCCCUUACCCUGGCUUUGGCUAUGUCCGGCUACAUCCUCAUUGGCACUGUCUGGUCUUGAUAAUGUUCUUGAGUCUUGAGGGUUGAAGAAAGUAUCAGGUGGUUGACCUGGAUUUGGAAAAAAAGAGAGAUAAAAUAAGAUAAUUAAAAAUACUGUACAAUGUUAUCAUAUUACACAUAUAUAUUUAACACAUAUAAACAUUUUAAAACAAAAAAGCAAGACAAGAAAGCAAGCAAACAAUAUGGCAUAGACAAGCAAAGUCAAAAUUGCCCUUUCUGUACUGAAAUCAUCUCACUUACUGGUGUCAGGCCUUUCUUCAAGAUUCUUGUCAGCUUUGAUGUGGCUUAGCGACAAGGCAUCUUGGUAACCACUGGAAUAGGACAAUUCAUUGCCUUGCUGAUUAUCAGUUUCAGAAUUAUUGCUUUGGAGGCUUGGGGAACUGGGACUAUCUUUUCGGCGGAGAUCUGAUAAAGAUGUCUGGCUAUCUCCAAAACAAGAGACUUCUACAAGUGGUAAAAAAGAUAAGGAAAAAAAGAUGAG